rnacentral:rRNA from 1 species
UCGAUUCGUAUUACCGCGGCUGCUGGCACAGAGUUAGCCGGUGCUUAUUCUGUCGGUAACGUCAAAACACUAACGUAUUAGGUUAAUGCCCUUCCUCCCAACUUAAAGUGCUUUACAAUCCGAAGACCUUCUUCACACACGCGGCAUGGCUGGAUCAGGCUUUCGCCCAUUGUCCAAUAUUCCCCACUGCUGCCUCCCGUAGGAGUCUGGACCGUGUCUCAGUUCCAGUGUGACUGAUCAUCCUCUCAGACCAGUUACGGAUCGUCGCCUUGGUGAGCCAUUACCCCACCAACUAGCUAAUCCGACCUAGGCUCAUCUGAUAGCGCAAGGCCCGAAGGUCCCCUGCUUUCUCCCGUAGGACGUAUGCGGUAUUAGCGUCCGUUUCCGAGCGUUAUCCCCCACUACCAGGCAGAUUCCUAGGCAUUACUCACCCGUCCGCCGCUCUCAAGAGGUGCAAGCACCUCUCUACCGCUCGACUUGCAUGUGUUAGGCCUGCCGCCAGCGUUCAAUCUGAGCCAUGAUCAAACUCUAAUCACUAGUGAAUUCGCGGCCGCCUGCAGGUCGACCAUAUGGGAGAGCUCCCA